UACAGAGGGUGCGAGCGUUUAAUCGGAAUUACUGGGCGUAAAGCGCACGUAGGUGGCGACGUAAGUCGGGUGUGAAAGCCCCGGGCUCAACCUGGGAAUUGCAUUCGAGACUGCAUUGCUGGAGUACGGAAGAGGAAGGCGGAAUUCCCGGUGUAGCGGUGAAAUGCGUAGAUAUCGGGAGGAACAUCAGUGGCGAAGGCGGCCUUCUGGUCCAGUACUGACACUCAAGUGCGAAAGCGUGGGGAGCAACAGG
rnacentral:rRNA from 1 species